AAAAGCCGUGGGGAGCUGCGAAUGAGCUUUGAUCCAUGGAUCUCCGAAUGGGGCAACCCACCUUAAAUGCUUGGGAAAUCUGAUGCGCCGUUGGCGCAUGAGCGAAUAGGAUUUAGCGAAUAGCGAAUAGAAUUCAAAAACUAUUCGCUACUGGCUAUUGGCUAUUGGCUGCGUCGAAGACGCGUCAGGUUUCCAAGCAUUGUGAUAAGGUAUCUGCACCUGAAUACAUAGGGUGUAAGAAGCGAACGCAGGGAACUGAAACAUCUAAGUACCUGCAGGAAAGGACAUCAACCGAGACUCCGCAAGUAGUGGCGAGCGAACGCGGACCAGGCCAGUGGCAAUUGUGAUUAAAGUGGAACGCUCUGGAAAGUGCGGCCGUAGUGGGUGACAGCCCCGUACGCGUAGAUAUCAUGAUUGUCCUAGAGUAGGGCGGGACACGAGAAAUCCUGUCUGAACAUGGGGAGACCACUCUCCAAGCCUAAGUACUCGUGCAUGACCGAUAGC
rnacentral:rRNA from 1 species